GUGCUUGCUUCAGCAGCACAUAUACAAAAAUUGGAAUAAUACAGAGAAGAUUAUCAUGGCCCCUGUGUAAGGAUGACAUGCAAAUUCAUGAAGCAUGCCAUAUUUUU
ensembl:snRNA U6 U6 spliceosomal RNA